rnacentral:rRNA from 1 species
GAUGAACGCUGGCGGCGUGCCUAAUACAUGCAAGUCGAACGGUAAGGCCCUUCGGGGUACACGAGUGGCGAACGGGUGAGUAACACGUGGGUGAUCUGCCCUGCACUUCGGGAUAAGCCUGGGAAACUGGGUCUAAUACCGGAUAGGACCCUGGGAUGCAUGUCCUGGGGUGGAAAGCUUUUGCGGUGUGGGAUGGGCCCGCGGCCUAUCAGCUUGUUGGUGGGGUGAUGGCCUACCAAGGCGUCGACGGGUAGCCGGCCUGAGAGGGUGACCGGACACACUGGGACUGCGAUACGGCGCAGACUCCUACGGGAGGCAGCAGUGGGGAAUAUUGCACAAUGGGCGCAAGCCUGAUGCAGCGACGCCGCGUGAGGGAUGACGGCCUUCGGGUUGUAAACCUCUUUCAGCACCGACGAAGCGCAAGUGACGGUAGGUGCAGAAGAAGGACCGGCCAACUACGUGCCAGCCGCCGCUGUAA